rnacentral:lncRNA from 1 species
GAAGGCUGAGGCUGGGCUGUUAAGGAUGGAGCCAGGGGAUAAUGAAUACAAUACAGGUGCUGGGGUUUAGCUCGGGUUAUGAUGAGGUGUCAGAAAAGCACAUUACCAUGGCAGGGGGUUCUCUCCCCUUCUUUCUCUCUGGAACACACAGGCACACACAGAUACACACAGAUAUACGCACAGACAUGCCGGAACGUAGACACACACACACACACACACACACACACACACACACACACACACACACACACACACACACGCACACAGAUAGACGCAGACAUGCAUGAACGAAGGCGUACACACACACACACAGCCAAGCAUGUUCUCUUUCACACACACACUCUCUCUCUUCUCACUCUCUCAGCAAAAUAAUGUUGAAGUAAUACGGAGCAGUGCAUUGCAGAGGUGCAUGAUUUGUAAUACAUUUAGACAGUCAUUUUGUCAAUUGGAAUUGGUUGUGAUUCAUCAAUUCUGUGAAAUAUUACAGUAUGUCAUUUUGCCUUCAUGUACAAUUAAGAAUUUUCUCUUUAAAACGAGGACUAUAAUAUCUUAAUAUGUCCCAGCUACUUGCAUUUCUGGCAAUCAAUGUAGCAAAAGUAGCUCAUCCAUCACUACGUUUCAGACGAUACAGGAUAGCUAUGGUGUGGUGCAUGUUAUGAUGGCUGCAUUACUAGCCAGCAUCCUCUUAGCUUGUCUUUGUUGUGUUGAGGAUGGGGUUGUUUAACAUGAUGUUUCUGUCUUUGUUGUGUUGAGGAUGGGGUUGUUUAACAUGAUGUAUCUGUCUUUGUUGUGUUGAGGAUGGGGUUGUUUAACAUGAUGUAUCUGUCUUUGUUGUGUUGAGGAUGGGGUUGUUUAACAUGAUGUUUCUGUCUUUGUUGUGUUGAGGAUGGGGUUGUUUAACAUGAUGUGUCUGUCUUUGUUGUGUUGAGGAUGGGGUUGUUUAACAUGAUGUUUCUGUCUUUGUUGUGUUGAGGAUGGGGGUUGUUUAACAAGCUGUUUCUGUCUUUGUUGUGUUGAGGAUGGGGUUGUUUAACAUGAUGUUUCUGUCUUUGUUGUGUUGAGGAUGGGGGUUGUUUAACAUGAUGUUUCUGUCUUUGUUGUGUUGAGGAUGGGGGUUGUUUAACAAGCUGUUUCUGUCUUUGUUGUGUUGAGGAUGGGGUUGUUUAACAUGAUGUUUCUGUCUUUGUUGUGUUGAGGAUGGAGGUUGUUUAACAUUAUGUUUCUGUCUUUGUUGUGUUGAGGAUGGGGGUUGUUUAACAUUAUGUUUCUGUCUUUGUUGUGUUGAGGAUGGGGUUGUUUAACAUGAUGUUUCUGUCUUUGUUGUGUUGAGGAUGGGGUUGUUUAACAUUAUGUUUCUGUCUUUGUUGUGUUGAGGAUGGAGGUUGUUUAACAUGAUGUGUCUGUCUUUGUUGUGUUGAGGUUGGAGGUUGUUUAACAUGAUGUUUCUGUCUUUGUUGUGUUGAGGAUGGGGUUGUUUAACAUGAUGUAUCUGUCUUUGUUGUGUUGAGGAUGGGGUUGUUUAACAAGCUGUUUCUGUCUUUAUUGUGUUGAGGAUGGGGUGGUUUAACAUGCUGUUUCUGUCUCUGUUGUGUUGAGGAUGGGGUUGUUUAACAUGAUGUAUCUCUCUCUGUUGUGUUGAGGAUGGGGUUGUUUAACAUGAUGUUUCUGUCUUUGUUGUGUUGAGGAUGGGGUUGUUUAACAUGAUGUUUCUGUCUUUGUUGUGUUGAGGAUGAGGUUGUUUAACAUGAUGGGUCUGUCUUUGUUGUGGUGAGGAUGGGGUUGUUUAACAUGCUGUUUCUGUCUUUGUUGUGUUGAGGAUGGAGGUUGUUUAACAUGAUGUUUCUGUCUUUGUUGUGUUGAGGAUGGGGUUGUUUAACAUGCUGCGUCGUGAGGAGGGAACCUGAGGAGAGAGUGAAGCUCUAUCUCAAUUGCUUAAAAUCCUCUCUUUUCUUCUGGUCAGUUCUUUCAGAACCGAACAGAGAUAACACGCUGCUUUAAGGUGUGUGGUACUGUGUGUGGUAUAGUGUGUACAGUACAGGUGGUGCAGUACUGUGUGUGGUAUAGUGUGUGCAGUACAGGUGGUGCAGUACUGUGUGUGGUAUAGUGUGUAUAGUACAGGUGGUGCAGUACUGUGUGUGGUAUAGUGUGUACAGUACAGGUGGUACAGUACUGUGUGUGGUAUAGUGUGUGCAGUACAGGUGGUGCAGUACUGUGUGUGGUAUGGGUGGUGGAUGAUUUGUUCUAUAACAACAGCGGCCCUCUUGCUAUGGACACUGGGAGUGUCAGAGGGAGUUCCAAGCUGUCAGGCUAUUAAUCCAUCUACAGGGGCCAGGGAGGAGAAGAGCCUGACUAGCCUAACAGAAGAGACUAACAGCAUGUUGACUACCCUAACAGAAGAGACUAACAGAAGAGACUAAUAAAACUAUAACAGACUACAAAGGGAAGAGCCGCGAGCUGCCCAGUGACACAAGCCUACCAGACGAGCUAAAUUCAUUCUAUGCUUGCUUCAAGGCAAGCAACACUGAAACAUGCAUGAGAGCAUCAGCUGUUCCGGACAACUGUGUAAUCAUACUCUCCGUAGCCGAUGUGAGUAAGACCUUUAAACAGGUCAACAUUCACAAGGCAGCAGGGCCAGACGGUUUACCAGGACGUGUACUCCGAUCAAGCGCUGGCCAACUGGCAAGUGUCUUCACUGACAUUUUCA